rnacentral:lncRNA from 1 species
GGGGCUGCUCCUGAUUGGGUGGAAGCUGGAAGCGGAGCGCAUCACAUGCUCAGGUGGAGGAUGAAGGCUGUCACCACUCACCAGCAACCGUCAUGUACUGCAGUUUGGCAUGCUCUUUGGAAGGGGCAAACAAACAUCUAGGGAUUCCUGUGUUUCUUCGAAAACAGAGGAAGAACAAGUGGGUCUGAUACCACACUCAGGACUUAUCCAUUCAACGACGGUGGCUGCUGCUGGCGGCGGCGGCAGAGGCACGCACAACGGGAGCAGGUGGAGGAUGAAGGCUAUAUCAUGAACUAGCAUUUACAGCAUGUUUUUCUCAAACGGGAAAACAAACAGCAAUGGGGGAGUUUGUUUUGUCUCUCUUAUUAUUCCUCUGUUUCUUCCAAAACAGAGGAAGAUAAAAACAGGGUCUGAUCCCAGGCUCAGGACUUGUCCAUUCAGAAACGAUGGGAUUCGUCAGCAGUAGUAGUUUAUCCUUUUCUUUUGAGACCAGUGUGGAAUCAGUGGUAAUAGUAGACUAAUUCAGUAGCUGUUGAAAAACUUGCACUCAGAGAGAUUAAAUAACCAUCAUUCUUCUCCCUCUAUGUUUAUGCAUAAAUAGGUUAUGUCUUCAUUUUGAUUUGGAAACAAAAAUAUUAUUCCUUCCAUACAUACAUGGAUGCAGACGCAUUUAGUUGUUUUGGUUACAACUCGUACAACAUAAAAAUUCUGUGGUGCAUUCAGCAACAAUUGAAACAUAAAUAGUACUACUUUUCUGGGAGUAGGUUCAAUUAGGAUUCAGGAAUAUGUAAAGACAUGAUUUUUUUCGAGAAACAACAUGUCAGUUUUUUUUAAGGUAAAACAACAUCUCAGUUAACUAGAAUGGCAUCUGCAUGCCUUGAGAUCACCCACUCCAGAAGAUUCUGCUCGGCCUUGCCUUGGGGCGCAGUGUCUCGUGGAUGGUUCAGCGCCGAUCUUGCACGUCAGCCGUCGUGCCCUGUGUGGUGUCACAUCCCCAGGGAAGUAGCCAGUUUGGCACUUUAUAAGAACAUCUACAGUUGGACUUUGCAAAUCCGCCUCGCUAAAUAUCCAUGGACGCCAUGAGUGCGAUCCUAGACAGCGCCGGACGAUCCCUCAGAUGUCUUGCCGGACAACCACGGUCCUCAUAUCCAAUCCGUCAAAUCCAUGCAAUGGAUCAUAUAGCAGAAAUUCAUCCCAAUUCAACAACACAACAAAGCAAAAAAAAAUACAUUUCAACAAUCCAGACAUACCAUAAUGAAAUUUAACAUCCGGGCCGCGGAUGGACAACGUGAUGAACACUGGCCGGACGCCAUCCGUUCCGCAUCUGUCCUCGUACUCUCUAUGCAUGUUGAUCUUCUUCUCAAUUCCCAACUUGUUGCUCUCGGUUUGCAACUUGUUGUUCACCGUCUCCAGGUCCCAAUGCAUCUUCUCCUUUUGUGCAUCCAACAUGAGCUUGUACCCCGCCUCUUUCUUGUUCUCCCUUAUGGGAAAAAUGCUCGUCUAUGUGGUGGACAUUUUUGUCUCCGCGGUGUUACAAGCGACCCUCCUCUUCUCCCACUUGUUUCCCAUGUUUUGGUUGGUUAUGCACCGGCACGGUGGGUCUUUCAUCCUCCUCAAUAGCUUCUUCCUAGUCAUCCUCCAAUCCAAUGGAUUGGUUGGAACUUGAGCCGUUAUUUUUCUUCAACCUUUUGUUGCUGGCUUUGAGGUCUUCUACAAGUUGAUUCCACUUUGGUCGGCCAUUCCAUUUCAUCCAAAAACGGCUAAAAUGGAAUGUUUCUUCUUGGUUUGUUGGUACAAAGUGACCGCCCACAUCAUCUAUCAAACAAUAAAGUAAUCAUGGUAAUCCGGCACUAAAAAUUGGCAAUGUAAAUCAUAAUGAAACAAAGAAAUUCAAUUUACAUGAAUUUAAACUCCAAUGUCACUCUGAUUUCGGCGAAUCACGGAAGCAUAGUGGCCUACAAACUUGUUGACAUGCUCUUGGAUGGUGGACCAUUUAUGUUGGAGAGAGGCCAUAUUGCGAGUGGUAUUGAUAUGAUGUGGCUCCACAUAUUCUUUGUGUUCAUGAUACUAGUUGUGGAUCUUCUCCCAAUACAUGUUGCUCUUUUGCUCUGUGAAACAUAUAAGGUCCAUGCUUGUGGCUAACCAAGAUUUAACCAACAAAACAUCCGUAAAUGUUGUGAAUGUUGGACCUCUUGCCUUGGGUAACAAGAACCGCACCACACCUCUGCUCCCCAUCUCCUCCUUACACCAUAUUCUGCACACUCCAUGGCAUCCUGUGAGCGGUGAAAGGGGUUACCAUAAUAGUUGGCUGUGUGGCCCACCAAGCCCGCCUGAUACGAGCUAGACAACUCGCUGCUCCCACCUUCCUCGCUGCCCAGCCGUCAGUAUCAUGGGCAAGUCUGCAUGCGGGCUAGCGGAGGAGCAAGCCGUCGCUCCAAGUUGGCCCCUGGUGCAGCAACUCAUCGCUCCAAGCCAGCUCGCAGAGGAGUGGCUAGUUGCUCCAUACGUCUGCACGCAGGGGAGCACGAUGGCACGGGCACCAUGGAUGUCGUAGACGCCGAUGCAUCGUCACACUCCUCCCGCGCGUACUGUCGUGCCAUCCGCCGCAAAUGUUGGCAGCACUGCACCCUAUCGGCGGAGGCGUCGAGGCCGUCUGUGGCCGCCGCCGACACCGAAGAAAAGUAAAUCAUGGGAGGCUGCCGCCGCUUGGGUCCCACAAUGUCCACCGCCACCGAGUCGCCGGCAUACACAGCCAGUGUCUUGCCCGAUUCAACGCAAACCAUCGUAGACCCCUACCUCAGCUUCACGGCAGCGGAGUAGCGACUCUUCACCUCCGGCUGAAGCAUGGCUACUCUGAUGAGUGGCGCAACCGGACAUAGAAAAGAUAUGGCCAUAGAAAAGAUAUGGCGGAGGCAGAAGCCGCGGAGGAUAGCCAUGUCACUGGAAUGGAGACUGUCGUGGCCAGCAUUAGACUAGUUGAUUAGUUGAAGUAUGUCCAAAAUUAUACCUUCAGAGUCAGACGAGCUCCGCUUUUAAAGUAUGUAUGAAAUAUAAUGAAUUUCGUCCGGUUUAUAUGAAAUCCGUCUUGUUUGCAUUAAUUCUGUCCGCGUAGUUCAAACGUAUGCGGGCAGUGUUGGAUGGCCAGCUCCCGUAUCAGUAUCCCUGAACGGAUCCCCUCUGCUCGCCGAUGAAUGCCGGAGCAAAUUUGUGGGUCAGCACUAGAGAUGCCCCUAUCGCUGAAGCGACGCCACAUGGCAGGCUGUCCCAAACCUGAUACAAUUCCAAUAACUAUCCUUAAUUAGAUACUACAACACUUUGCGACAUUACGGACACUCCUUAAUUAGAUAUACAGUUGUGGCCAUCAAACAAUCAGAGUCCGCGUGCGCUGCUGGGUGCUGAAUCGAUCAAUCAAAGUAUAGAUCGAUCGGCUGGUUGUAAUUGUAUACGUGCGUGUCCUGUUCCGGCUACAGGUCCUAGCGCUACACGUCCACGUCCAGGGAAGGAUCGAUUGUUAGCAAGAAGCUAGUUGCGGAUCGAUUGUUAGCAAGAGAAGCUACAAGUGCUUCCCUUCAUCGUCGUUCGUCAUCCCGUCACCAGUCGCCGGAAGUACUACGGCAGCUCGACGCCAGGCGUCGGCAAGCAUGACAGGCGAAGAGGAGGCGUCGGCAAACAUGACAGGCGAAGAGGAGGAAGAGUUGGUGCCGCAGCUACGGUUCCCCGCGGGAUACCACUUCCGGCCAACCGACGAGGAGCUCCUCGACAUCUACCUCCGCGCCAAGAUCGACGGACGGGAGCCGCCGCUCGACGUGUUCAUGGACGUCGACAUCCUCGACUGGGACCCCGCCGAACUCGUCGGUACGUACGUGAUUAUACAACAUCUCAACUUCUUAAUCGAUGAUUGGCUCGAUAUAUUGAUCUAUUCAUCGUAAUUUUCUAUCCUCUACUAAUAAAUUCAGUCAAAUGUUGAAUCAAAUUGAGUCCAUGCAUCUUAAAACUUGUUUUCGUAAAUUCCCAUAUCAAAUGCAUGCACUCUGAAUCAAUCAAGGUAAUAGAUUAAUUUUGGUUUCAUCUUAACCUACCUAGAGAGGCGCAAGGCCUACGGGGAGGGCAGGUACUUCUUCUUCACGAAAAGGACCGAGAGCCCGGCGAACAAGAACAGCGAGCCGCGCCGGAAGCUGAACAAGGUGAGGGCGAGCUGGAAGGCGACGGGGUGCCUGGAGAUCAUCGAGCGCAGCCGAACCGGCGAGACCAUCGGGACAAGGAGGCUCCUCAUCUACGACUCCAAGGGCGUCCACCGUGACAAGUGGAGCAUGAACGAGUUUGUCUUGCGAGGCAGGGAAGGGGUACGUACACCUAGGUCAACACGCAUUGCUACCUUGCUUUUUUUAUAUAAGUACAAAUUAUCAAAGCAUGAAAUACUUGGAUGACGAACAGAAUCUUUACUGUUUCCGUUCCAAAAUACAUGUCUCAACUUUAAUACAACUUUGAAAAUAUUGUACUAUAGUUUUUCUUUAGAAUCACUUUGUACUAAAAUUGAGACACUUUUUUUAAAACGGAGGGAGUACUUAUCUAUGAUAUUCUGUAGAUCAAAUCAUCCCUUGUGCCCUGUUCUGCAAGUAAAUUAGGAUUUGUGGUCUACACCAUGUUCUCCUGCAUUUAUUCAUUGUGCCGCUCACAAUUUCAUGUAUAAAUAAUUCCAUAAGAGCAUUCCGUAAUGAGGUAUUACUAAUAUUAGUAAUUCCAAACAGUUUGAAUAUAUUAUUUUAAUUGCCAUAGUGUGUAGCCAAUUCUUCACACACCAAAUAACGAAUGUAAGUUUCCCCAAAAAAAACAAAUGUAAGCUUUAUUAGUUAAAAAAAGACAUUGUUUAGAACAUAAUCAAGUCUAGUCAAACAUUUGCAACUUUCACUAUCAACACUUUUUAGAACGUCCAGUGGGCUGAAUAUUUGAAAAUCACACGUAUAAAUUUAUCUCGACGCUGCAUUCGUUGUAUCCUAUUUUGUAGGGUUUUAUUUAUAAAUACAUUACUUCGUAUGUGAAUGUCUAGACUGUUAAUCGCAUGGCGUUGUAAUUAAGGUGCCAGAAGUGUAUGGGAGUGUACUAAUCAUAUACUUCUAAUAGCUUGUUAAGCUACUAUAAGCAUGUGGUAGAAGUAUAUAGAAGUGCACCGGGGUGUACUAACGUUAAAUACUACUACUACUUACAUCAGAUUCUCCUUUUACUCUGCCUGCAUUGCAGCUGGAUCAGUGGGUCUUGUGCACAAUACAGGAGAAGCAACACUGGGAGGCCAAAAGCAGCAAACGCACAGCUGGCAAGAUGGCAGAAGACACUAGUAGCGAAGGCCAGACGGCGGCAACAGGCGCUAGAAAGGUGCGCAAGACCAAAAGACAGAAGAAGGAGAAGAUGGACCCCUCCCAGCCACAUAAAACUCAGGAACAACUGCAGCAACCGCAGCAAAAACAAGACACCACAGCUGAUGUAUUCUCCGAACAGCCACCAAUGUUUACAAGUGAUCACCAUGCUUUGCAUGAAGAAGAGAUCAUGGAGCAGGACGAGACAACCCAGAUGAUGCAAGUCGUUGUCCAGCAAGAACAGACAUAUGGAGACCAGCAUUACCUUGACGCCCCAGCGCCACAAGAGACAACAUACGAAGGACCCGAUGAGCCACCGUUGAAGCCGCACCACCAGCAAGAUUACCAUGCUUGGCUGGAAGAGCAACAACAUCAGGAGCUUGAGGAUCCGUUCCCUGGUCAACAUCAGUUUGACCCAUUCAACACCAUGAUUUUUCAGGGCCACACCGAUCAAGAACCAACACCUGGGUGGUGGCAGCAGCACCAGCCAAGCUACAUAGAUAAUUAUCAGUUUUUCCUGCCAGCCAAUGGCGUGGAGCAUGCCAGCGGGUGUCAGCUUCCGCACCAACAGACUCUUUAUCCGCUUGGAACACCAGGAUCCCAUGGGGACUUCAAACCAACUUCACAAUAUGAACUGCAAUUCCCACCGAACCCCGCAAAACCCAACGAGCAGCAAACAAGUCCCGAUUCUGUGCUCAGCGCGUGUCAACAUUGUCGGCUGACUAGUGCGGAUAAGGUCGCGUGCUCCCUAUGUGGCUGUGGUGGAUUUAAUUCGGAGAUGAAGUAACUAGAUCUAUUAUCGUUAUGUAUGUACAUAUGCUGUCUUACUAUGUCAGAUUGAGUUGAUAGUCAUGUUUAGGGCCGUCUGAGUAAAGGUAAUUAGAGCAGCACGUCAAUAAAGCAGCGGACAUAUCCGCGUGCAUCCUGAGUUUAUGUCGUCGUCUGUGCAUUAUGCUUCUGCAUGUGGACAAUCAAACAAUAAUAGUACUAUGCUUGCUAAGUACUUAUCUAAUUGAUCGUUCUUUCUUUUUUUAUCCUGUGGUACAAAGGUGUUGGUAACUUCAUCCGCAGAAAAAAAAAA